rnacentral:rRNA from 1 species
UACGUAGGGUGCGAGCGUUGUCCGGAAUUAUUGGGCGUAAAGAGCUUGUAGGCGGCUUGUCGCGUCUGCUGUGAAAUUUCGGGGCUCAACCCCGAACUUGCAGGGGUACGGGCAGACUAGAGUGUGGUAGGGGAGACUGGAAUUCCUGGUGUAGCGGUGAAAUGCGCAGAUAUCAGGAGGAACACCGAUGGCGAAGGCAGGUCUCUGGGCCACUACUGACGCUGAGAAGCGAAAGCAUGGGGAGCGAACAGG